GAAGCAGUCCCCGCUCAGUGCCAGUGCACUCAGGGGAGGCGGUCCUGGGAAAGGCCAGCCUCUCUCUGCCACCCCUUUGUCACCUCUCCCUGCUCAUUCACACACCUGUCCCCCUCUCCAGAGACCUAAGCAGGAAAUUUAGUUGCUCUUUGAACUUCAAAUUUUCAUCAAAGAAAUUAAAAGCAAAACCCAACAAAACAUCCAAAUCUGUGAAGCAUAAAUAGAAGCCAUAAAUUGUUUUAUCUCCCUCUUUGUUAAACCCCACAAAAAUCUGAUCUCCCAAAACAGCCUGGGCUAGCUGCAGAUGUCCAAACUUGUAGCAUAUGUGUACCUCUCUCUCUGCCUUUGUGGGAAUCUCCCCAGUAUUGGCCGUAGCCCCAUGAUCACCAUCAACGUGCCCUGAUGUGUUUACAUUCAUAGGAAAUGGACCAACAUAAUUUAUUUUUGCUGUUUUUUUUCUUUUGCCCCAGAACAAAGGGGGAUUUGUUGAUAUGACGGAGCUGCAAUGAACCAAACACUCUACUUCCUACCGGACACAGUCUCAUCCACUCCUGGACAGUUCCCCGUGAGGGAUCUCUAGACUAGAGAUGUCUCUGGUCAUACUAAAAGGCUGUUCUCAGUUACACUGAGGCAGAAGACCUAUUCUGAGGUUUGGUGGCUCCUCCCAGCUGCAGCAACCCUGAUGUAGAAGGACAUUUCUGAAAGCUGUGAUGAGAUGAUUUUUGGAAGAACUGAGAUGGAAGCAGCUUCCUUGAGGAGGUCCUGAGAGAGGAUGAAUACAUUAAGCAAGCCGCACCGGCUGAAACUUGAUGUAAAGGCCACAGUGAGUGAAUAUUUCCAUUGUUAUGAUGGAAAAUCAUCUAAAAUAACCAUCACUUCCCCCAUUAUUAUCUGGCGGAUCAGAGAGUUUAACGAAGCUCAAAUAUCUUGAUGAGGCACAAAGAGCUCAUUCUCAGGCCCCAGAAAGAAACAGGACACUCUUCUAAGUGACUACUUUAUUUGGAGCAAAUUCUGCAGACAUCAACGUGCCAAGGGACCCAAUGGGUCACUUCAUUCAAGGUUGCACUCAGGGACCCAAUGGGUCACUUCAUUCAAGGUUGCAUUCAGCCUCACUUUGCAUAUCUCUUCUCUGUGUCUCCUCUCACAAACUGCAUUUGAUUUGGAGCCUGUUCUAAAGAUUUGUGUUUAUUGACAUCAUACAUGUCAGCAUGAGGUGGUACAGAAAAAGAGGAGAAAACAUUUGAGAAGCUACGAGGAAGCCUGUUCUGUCUUGUCAUCCUUGCUGAGAGUAGCCGUCACUUUCCUUGCUCAUCCACAGAAACACCAGCAAAGCCACCUUUCUAAGUGAGCUCCUCUGCCGGGUAUCUGCCUCUUCGGUUGGUCCCCAGCGGCAGAUGCGGCAAGUCGGUUUGUGACUCUCUGUACAGACAAUACUGCUCUCUUUCAACAAGUGACAUAGUUGUCCUACAGUAAAGCAACUGUGUUGUUCUUUAAUCUCUGAUGCACUGGAUGCUACGCAGUUUCCCACAAAACAUCUUGGUUGCCAGACUGCAGAAAGAGAAGUAUUCCUUGUGCAUGUUUUCCAUACUUUCUUUUGGAUGACUCAUCUCUGAUCCCAAUGGAAACAGAUUGGAUACUCCUGUGAAAUUUGAUGGCCCGCCAUGCACCAAGCGUUUUCAUUUCUGAAAAAUGCAGAGAGACUCAGGAGAGAAGAAUGCUAUGAAUCCAGUCUGGAAGGAAAACUUUGGAAGAGGAAGCAGACUCUUCAGAGUUCACACUAAGCGUCCAGGCUGAGUGAAAACCCGAACCGGCUUCAGGGAGAAAACAGGUGACAGUUCUCUGCCUCAAGCAUCGCAAGGUUGUCUUUUGCUUUCAUACUUAAAAAAUACAGGAGAAUUAACAUGCUAAUGAUGUCUGUUGAACUUUGGGAAAGACAAUGUCUCUGUCUUGCUUUGGCUAUCUUGAUGUGGAUGUAGGACUUGACUAGGACUUGACAUACAGAAAAUUGUAUCACUGUUUAUAAGGAACAUGGCCAACAUGUAUUUCAGAGCAGAGUUCUACAGAACCAGAGGGUGAAUAGUGUUUGCUUUUGAAAUAGGCUUUCACUAUAUAGAUCAGACUAGUCACCAGCUAGUCUGCUGCCUGAGCCUCUGGAGUGCUGGGAUUAGUGAAACUUAGCUAUUUUCUCUCUGUUAGUGUCAUAGUUUUUGCCAACCUGAUACAAACCUGGACACAUUUGGGAAGAUGGACUCUAUCAUCUGAAGAACUGUUUUCACCAGAUUGUCUAGGACGGUGUGGUAUGUCUAUGGAACAUUUAUAUUUUCCAAGUUGAUAACUGAUGGGAGAAGACUCUCCAUGAUGGACUGUAACCUACAAACCUAGAAAACACUUUCCUCCCCCUUUCUCUCCACAGAGAGCAAACUUAAACUGUUUGUUAGCUUACCUCCUUCCUUAUGUACUGCUGCUGGGGUUGACUGACAUCAUCAAACGUGUUUACCAUAUGCUGUCAUCCCUCAGCCUAAAUCCACCCCAGGCAAGAAUUUAGCUAUAUGAACUUUUAAGGGUUAAAACUCAGGGAGAGUGAGGCAGCCCAGGUCAGGGUGCAAGUCCUACUAAUUAAUACAGGGAACCCACAAAGGAUGCUCUGAUAAACCAAUGGAUGUCCUGGGAGUAUGGACCUUGAUUACUAGGAACACUAAAACAAGCCUAAGGGAACAUUUGGCUAGGGUGUUGGAACACCAACAUAAAUAAUAUUUAUUCACCACCAUGGUAAGGCAGUGGAGCAUCUGCACACAUUAAGCUCUAUGCUAUUGGAAGGGUGACAAAUCUGCAGAGUGAUCAGAGAAAAUGAAAUUAGAGCUGAGCUGAAGGUGUCGCAUGCGGGGGAAGGGAUGUUGGGGGGUCACAGGUCCGGGGUCUGCAGCUCUGAGAGUGGAGUCAGCAAGGGGAUUAUUCUGGUAGAUUUGCAAAGCUCACAGAUUCCACAGACUAUGAAGUUGAAGUCUAGGCAGCUAGAAGUAGUGAGGAAUUUUUUUCCUGGUGGAGACCCUUUAGACUCUUCUCUUUGUCCCAAUUUAUUAUUUUGUCUUGUGAUAGAGUCUCCUUUGCUUUUUGUCACAAUAAAUUGUCCUUGUGUACCAA